rnacentral:sRNA from 23 species
GUAACGCGUUCCCCGCUCGAAGGCGGGGCUUUCGACCCCCGGGUCGAGGGCCUGGCGUCACCAGCACCAGCCAACACCAGGGAGGUGACCAGUUGGCUACGUUCCACACAGGUGAGAAGACCCACCAGGCCGUGCUUCCUCAGCGGCCUGCUCUGGA